GGGUUAUUGGUCUAAUGGUAUGAUUCGUGUCUCGGGUGCACGAGGAAGGGGUUCAAUUCCCCUAUAACCCC